rnacentral:rRNA from 1 species
AUUGAACGCUGGCGGCAGGCCUAACACAUGCAAGUCGAACGAGUGGCGGACGGGUGAGUAAUGUCUGGGAAACUGCCUGAUGGAGGGGGCUAACUACUGGAAACGGUAGCUAAUACCGCAUACCAUCAGAUGUGCCCAGAUGGGAUUAGCUAAUUGGUGGGGUAACGGCUCACCUAGGCGACGAUCCCUAGCUGGUCUGAGAGGAUGACCAGCCAAACGGGAACUGAGACAAGGUCCAGAAUCCUACGGGAGGCAGCAGUGGGGAAUAUUGCACAAUGGGCGCAAGCCUGAUGCAGCCAUGCCGCGUGUAUGAAGAAGGCCUUCGGGUUGUAAAGUACUUUCAGCGAGGAGGCGUUACCCGCAGAAGAAGCACCGGCUAACUCCGUGCCAGCAGCCGCGGUAAUUC